UGAGAGCAUCCGUUGUCAACCCAGAGCAUU
rnacentral:piRNA from 1 species